rnacentral:rRNA from 1 species
GGAGGGUGCGAGCGUUAAUCGGAAUUACUGGGCGUAAAGCGCGCGUAGGCAGCCUGAUCAGUCGGAUGUGAAAGCCCUGGGCUUAACCUGGGAAUUGCACUCGAUACUGUCAGGCUAGAGUAUGGGAGAGGGAAGUGGAAUUUCCGGUGUAGCGGUGAAAUGCGUAGAUAUCGGAAGGAACACCAGUGGCGAAGGCGACUUCCUGGCCCAAUACUGACGCUGAGGUGCGAAAGCGUGGGGUAGCGAACAGGAUUAGAUACCCUGGUAGUCCACGCCGUAAACGAUGAGAACUAGAUGUCGGGAGGAUUUACCUCUCGGUGUCGCAGCUAACGCGUUAAGUUCUCCGCCUGGGAGUACGCCGGCAACGGUA